AGCAGCCGCGGUAAUUCCAGCUCCAAUAGCGUAUAUUAAAGUUGUUGCAGUUAAAAAGCUCGUAGUUGAAUUUCGGGAUCAAUAUGUCGGUCGUGCCUUGGUACGUACUGGUAUCAUUGGUCUCUCCUUUCUGACGAACCAUGAUGUCAUUAAUUUGGUGUUAUGGGAAGUUAGGACUGUUACUUUGAAAAAAUUAGAGUGUUUAAAGCAGGCUUUAGCUUGAAUACAUUAGCAUGGAAUAAUGAAAUAGGACGUUCGAACCUAUUUUGUUGGUUUCUAGGAUCAACGUAAUGAUUAAUAGGGAUAGUUGGGGGCAUUAGUAUUCAAUUGUCAGAGGUGAAAUUCUUGGAUUUAUUGAAGACUAACUACUGCGAAAGCAUUUGCCAAGGAUGUUUUCAUUAAUCAAGAACGAAAGUUAGGGGAUCGAAGACGAUCAGAUACCGUCGUAGU
rnacentral:rRNA from 1 species